UGGGCUAUCGCCAAGUGGUAGGGCACAGGACUUUGAUUCCUGCAUCAUCAGUUCAAAUCUGAUUAGCCCAG
rnacentral:tRNA from 1 species